CAUGCAUGUCUCAGUACGAGCCGUAUUAAGGGGAANCCGCGAAAGGCUCAUUAAAUCAGUUAUGGUUNCUUAGAUCGUACCCACAUUUACUUGGAUAACUGUGGUAAUUCUAGAGCUAAUACAUGCAAACAGAGCUCCGACCGGAGACGGAAGGAGCGCUUUUAUUAGAUCAAAACCAAUCGGUGGCGGGUCCGCUCGUCAUCGUACACCUUGGUGACUCUGAAUAACUUCUUGCUGAUCGCACGGUCUCGCACCGGCGACGCAUCUUUCAAAUGUCUGCCUUAUCAACUGUCGAUGGUAGGUUCUGCGCCUACCAUGGUUGUAACGGGUAACGGGGAAUCAGGGUUCGAUUCCGGAGAGGGAGCCUGAGAAAUUGCUACCACAUCCAAGGAAGGCAGCAGGCGCGCAAAUUACCCACUCCCGGCACGGGGAGGUAGUGACGAAAAAUAACGAUACGGGACUCAUCCGAGGCCCCGUAAUCGGAAUGAGUACACUCUAAACCCUUUAACGAGGAUCAAUUGGAGGGCAAGUCUGGUGCCAGCAGCCGCGGUAAUUCCAGCUCCAAUAGCGUAUAUUAAAGUUGUUGCGGUUAAAAAGCUCGUAGUCGAAUUUGUGUCCCGCGCCGCCGGUUCAUCGCUCGCGGUGUUUAACUGGCGUGCCCGCGGGACGUCCUGCCGGUGGGCUCAGCCCUCUCGGGGGCGGCCCAACUUCAAAUCCCACCGCGGUGCUCUUUACCGAGUGUCGAGGUGGGCCGGCACGUUUACUUUGAACAAAUUAGAGUGCUUAAAGCAGGCUAAAACUUCGCCUGAAUACUGUGUGCAUGGAAUAAUGGAAUAGGACCUCGGUUCUAUUUUGUUGGUUUUCGGAACUCCGAGGUAAUGAUUAAUAGGAACGGAUGGGGGCAUUCGUAUUGCGACGUUAGAGGUGAAAUUCUUGGAUCGUCGCAAGACGGACAGAAGCGAAAGCAUUUGCCAAAAA
rnacentral:rRNA from 1 species